ensembl:lncRNA SNHG29 small nucleolar RNA host gene 29
UCCUUAAGGGCCUGGCGCACAUAAGGUGUGACCUUUUCAUUCCCGUUGUUAUGGAGGGCCACAUCUGCCAGAGCCUGGAGUCUGCGAAGGCCGGGACCCGGUUCCCCGGCCCACAGUGGGGGUGUGCAAACCCGAGAGAACUGGGUUGCAAAUUCGUGAAGAAUCAGCAUCAUGUUUGGCAGCUGAGUAUUGGAGCCAGGAGCCUGCCAUGAGGUUUUGAGAACAGAGUGCUGUUUUAGAGCUGGCAGCAGCAUCUCAGCCCAAGAGAAGCCGAUGCAGCCUCAGUGUUCCUUUGCCUUGGGGGUUUCUGAGUGGUGGGGUUGUAAGCAGAUCCUGCCAGGCACCCAGAAGGAAACCUCAUCAGGACUCCCUCAGAAAGGCCCUGAAGAAUCCUGUGACCUUCAUCUAAAGUAGGUCAUGAGACCCCUGAGCUUAAAACGGAGUGAUCGGCUUUGGAGAAGUAAGGAGACAUGACGUGCCUGCCCUGGGGUGGGGACUAAACUUCGUGCCACUCCACGUGAAAGGGGGAGGCAUGACUCCACAGUUUCUGCAACAACAGAGCCGGGGAAAGGAGGACGCAGCAAGCGCUGAAUAUUAACCAGCAAAGGUAGAUGCUUCAAUAUCGAAACCACCGGGACCCGCAUGUGCAAAGCUACUUAAUGAGGGUGUAAUCAAACACAGUCUACCAGAAGGAAAUUAAUUAGAGUCCGGAGAGCAAGCAGGAAGCAGAACCAGGCUGCUCCCCCUCCUGGCUCUAGAACAUCACUGGCAGCCACUGCUAAGGGAGGGACAAGGCUGGGGGAUGCCAGGCCUCAGCUGGGUGCCAGGGCUCCUGUCCUCUUCCCCGUGACAUUCCGGCUUGCCUUUGGGGGACACCCAGGGGAGGGAAGGGAAAUGUCAGGUGCUGUUAGGGAAACACAGCCUGAGGAAGCCCCCAGGGAGAGAAGCUGGGACAUCCCAGAGUUAAGGAGCUGGGCACAGAGAAGACUUGCUUCUCUAGGAAGACAAUGGUCUCAUAAGAAGAAGGACGGAAUCAUAAACAACAGAAAUGUAUUCUCUCAUAGUUUUGGAGACCAGAAAUCUGAAAUCAGGGUGUUGGCAGAGCUGCACUCCCUCUAGAGAUUCUAGGGGGAGACUUCAUUCUUUCCCCAUGUGCGACAAGGAAGGGAGGGAUGCCAGGCACAGACCUAUGCACCUAAUGAGAGAAACAGAUACAGGAUGCAGUGGGAUGAAUGGUGGCCCCCAAAAGACAUGCCCAUGCGCUUGUGCCCAGAAACUGUGAAUGUGACCUCAUUUGGAAAAAGGGUCUUCACACACAGAUUACCUUCAGGACCCUGAGAUGAGAUGAUCCUGGUUUAUCCAGGUGGGCCCUGAAUCCAAAACAAGUGUUCUUACAAGAGACACAGAGAAGGCAGCAAUGUGAAGGUGGAGGCAGAGAAGGGAGUGAUGCGGCCACAACCACCAGAAGCUGGAAGGGAGAAAGAGUGAAAUCUCCCCUGGAAUCUCUGGAUGGACACGGCCCUGCCGACACUCUCAUCUCAGACUUCUGGCCUCCAAACCAUGAGAGAAUAUGUUUCGGUUGGUCCAAGUCACUCAGCCAGUGGUCAUUGGUUACGGCAGCCCCAGGAAAUGAAUGCACCAGAUUGGAUCAGGACAGAGGUGGCAUUUUUCCCAGGGGCACACCAGGCAAAAGGGAGAAGAGAUCAAGGCAAGUGGCCGGGACCCCUCCCUUCUUCCACAGCUGCAGACCUCAGCCAAGAGCACAGCUGUGGGCAACCAAGGACGUUAUUGCCAGAAAUCAACUUGCUGUCUCCACCAGCCCUGAAGCCUCUGUGGGUACACUCUCCUUUGCUGUCUGCUCCCAGGGGCAGGGCUGUACUAGUCAGAAAUGCUUCCUAUAGGAUCCCCAAGGUGGUUCUCAGCUCAACAUGGGAAAGAACCUUUAAAAACAGGUGAUGAAGGAAAUGCUGACACUGUCCACGACAAGGAUGAGGCUUGAAGACUCCACUAAGAGAAAUAAGCUCGGAACGAGAGGACAAAUACCGCAUGAGGCCACUUACGUGAGGGACCAAGAGUAUCUAAUCAUUCAAAGUACUCAAAUUCACAGAGACAGAGGGUAAAAUGGCAGUUGCUGGGACUGGGGAAGGGGGAAUUCGUGUUGGGUGGGGACAGGGUUUCAGUUUGAGGAAGAUGAAAGAGUUCUGGAGAUGGAAGGUGGUAAUGGUUGCACAGCAAUAUGAAUGUGCUUAAUGCCACUGAACUGUGCACCUAAAAUGGUUAAAACGGUAUUUUAUAUUUGUAUAUUUUAUCGUAAUAAAAAAAUAGUGCUGAGCUCACUGUCACUGGAAGGAUACAAGCAGAGGAGAGACACUCAUCAGCCGGCACUGCUGAGGCAGGAUUUCUGGACCACAAGGAAGGUGGCCACUAAGGGUUGCCCUCUGGCCCCCUGUGACUCUUCUCAUCAGCAUGGCCCAGGAUGCAGCAUCCUGGCAUCCAAGGAGGUGCCACUAAGUAGCUACAAGAUGUGGGGCCUGGCGAGAGGAACCACAAAAGAACGCAGAAAAAAAAAGCAACAAAAAGCCAGUGACAAAGCUGCGUGGAUGGCGGAAGGCGAGCAGGAGUUUGGUGAUGCAGUUUGAAGACCGGGACUGAGACCCCCCCACUGGAGGGGUACGUGGGGUGCAAAAGCAGAAGUGGCACCAGUGGGCUUGACUGCUCCAGAGAGGGGCAUUGCUCCUCAGUGCAGCAACAAGGCGCCUUUAGCCCCCUUGUCGUUUUUGGCCCCAAAAGUGCCACAGUUACACAGGGUGGCCCUGGAGCAAAGUGAGUGCUAAUGCGCUGGGGCAUACGGAAAUCUGGUAUUUCACACAUUUGUCAUGUUAAGGAGAAUUAGGCGUAUCAGAGUAUCUAACAGAUUGGCCUUCCAAUCCCCAUUUAAAACGGGUAAUUGAGUAGCUGAUUUUAAGCUUAUGAUUUUAAGCAGAACACCGGAAGUGGAUUCAGCCAAGUUUGUAAGUUUUGAAAUGUUUCAGAGAACUAAUAGUCAUCAUAUUUAUCAGCUUAUUAAAUUUCAAGAACUAUUUAGGAACCCAGGAAAGUCCUGCUUUUUAGGAUGAGUAUUUAUAAACUUAAGAACACUGGUUAUGUUAAAUUUAUAAAGUUACAUCAAGAUAUUUAAAGAAAUUUAAUUACUUAAGUUAUAAACCCCCUACCCUUGAACAUCGACAUUUAAAUGGACUAGAUUCGUGAGGGGAAUAAUGAAAUUGGUAUGUUAAAUGCUUCAGGAAACACUAGGUUUAAAAAUUUCCAC